rnacentral:lncRNA from 1 species
GUAACUGCGCCAUCAAAAUCGGAAACCUCCCCCUCCCCCUUCCCCAUAUCAACACAGUUCCCUUCCUCGUCUCGUAGGAUCCCUAUCUUGAGGAGAUCGAUCAUGGCCUGCCCUCCCUCCUGAGCCUCGUAGCUCACUCCGCCGAUUCAUUGAGGUCGAGGGCACAAGAGGCAUGUCUUGUUCACCAACUGGGACGGAAAGCAGACCAGUCCCCACCCCGAUUCAUAGAAACACAAGGUAAAUACUAGUACGACUUGACGAUUUUGCCUCCUCCCCCCUUGGUUCAGAUCUGUCCCUUCUAUGCUUUCUAAUUACUCUUCUCUUGUGUGAAUUUGAUAGUGCACACCAAGUGUUUGAUAGAUGUCCUCUGUUAGUGGUUUAGAAUUUUGGGGGCCUUUCAGAUAGAGGUGGUUGUUUCUGAUUCUUCUUCUAUAAGGUUACACCUUUCUUACUUGAUUGAGAUUAGAUUUUUAGGUUUUAUUCAUUAUAGUGCCCUGAUGCCUGUUUGUUUUGAUGUUCGUAGGUUUACUGAACAUAAGAGGUGGCUUAAAUCUAGUAACUGUUAAGGUUUCAGGUGUGGACGCAUGCAAUAUUUCAAUGUAGUUCUGCACCAUUACUACCUUGGUGAGUUCAAUCUCUUCAUAGACUUUCUUUAUGGUACUCCAAUUCUGACUAUCCUAUUCUAGUUGGGUAGUACAGUUGGGUUAGUUCUUGCCUAACAUUUUGUGGUUGAACACCUAGCAUAGUUUCUUUCUUUCUUCGUGUGUGUUCAGACGUUUGUGACCUUCUUAUUUUCUUAUUGCUAUCAUACUGUAUUCUGGCCGGGGUGUCAUUUGUACAAAAUGAACGAUGGAGUGACUAGAAGAAGUGUUAUCUUGGUCGUACCUAUGGACAAAUUGCAGUAAGUAUUUUGUCGACUAGUGAGGCCCUAAUAAAACAUUAAUUUUAUUAUGAAUAUCAGAACAUGAUCUGCAGCAGCACAACUACAAGUCCAGUCUACAUAACCACACACUUGUUCUGAAAAUAAAUGUUAGUGAGCAACCAUGUGCACGAUAGUGAAAACACAUGUAUACUCUACAACACACUCAGCCUUGGCCCAUGGGAUCUCCCCACAGUUCCAACUUGAAAAUAACAUCUCAUCAGCCUAGCUAUAAUUCUUGUGCAUGAACGAAACCUCCUUAACAUCAAAGAGAAUGAACUUGGGUGUCCUUGAGCUUAUGAUCCUCUUACUAUCUGUGGAUAUUGUUAUACCUGAACAUGUGUUCCCCCCUGCAAACACCAUGUUAAGAAUCAUACCACGCAAGUACAAGUUCAUCUUCCGUAAGCAACUGAAAUAGAUCAACAGUUAAACUACUAGUAUUGAAAGAUAACUGCAUUUUAUUCAUAGUAAUGUUCCCAGCAUAGAAAAAAAACUAAAAAGCAUGGGGUCAUCGAAAGAGCUGGUAUACGGAGUUUCAUUUUGUUACUUGUUGUGUUUCUUAUACACUCGAUGAACAAAAUAAUGGAUCCCUUGCAAAAUUACAUUUCAGAGUAACAGUUUCAUGUCUUAGUUUAUCGUUUUCACUAUGAAAUAGGAAUAGCUUGAUGUAUUCCUAGUACCUACUCAGUACUGAGUGAGUCUCUAUUUUGAUUUGAUAAGGAAUAAAUGUGGCCACACUUAUUUUGUUGAUUGUAGGGGCAGAAAUUACUUCAAAAUAUGAUUGUUUGAGCUGAAAUCUGGAUUAAUCGUCUUCACAUCUGUGGGGAUGACUGUCAUAAGGUCGAGUAGGACCACAGAAUAUUGUCUUUUACAUAAUUUAUUUAAACCUUUGGUCAUUGUCAUGUUGCAGCAGAUAUGUAGUGGAAAAGAAUUUCAGUGCACGGUGAAGGGAAAUAUAUUCUGCUGCACAUAAAGUAUAUUUUCAUUAUCAUACACAAUAUGUUCAAAAUAUGUUGCUCCAAUGGUUAUGUAUAUACUGGUCGUCUUGCUAUCAGAAUGCUGUUAACAACAAGAAUGUUAGUGCAUGUCAGGGAGAAAAAACGUCUAUUUCAAACAAGCAGUAUCCUUUCAUAAUCACAUAAAUUUUUUGUUCUGACUAUAGUGGCUUGUUUAGUUGUUUAUUACUUAUUCUUUGCUAUCGGCCUGUUGUCCAAACCACAAAAACAACAUAAGGUACUAAUGCAUGCUGUAAGAGUGCUCUAAGUGGUUCCCUGAGUUGGAUGGAUGCCAAUGAACUACCUGUUGUGCUCAAAUUCAUUUCAUAUGUUCCCCUGUUUUGUUUCUGUCUUCUCAUAUGGCAACUUUUAUUUUUUCUAACAGGCAGGAACUAAAGUAUUCUUGAAGAGCCUGAAAAAUCAUAAUAAGGGUGUAGCUCUAGAUACAAUGGUAAGUUCUGAUCCUAAAUUUAAACUUGAUGGUCCUGAAAUUAGAAAUGAAUUAUGGGCAGUGCAUGUUGAUAUGGCACUAGUGCAAACUGAAAAUUUGGUAUGAAGUCGCAAAAACUGCAAUACUCUCGGUAAUGCAUAAAAAGAAAAGAUUGCAUGGCCUUCAACCUUUGUACGUGACUAAUAUUUGCUUAUAUUACUACUUGCAUCAUGUCAAGGUAUUAUGUGUUAACAGUUCAUUUUUGUUUUCUUAUUUGUAGAUUCAAAAGAUAAAUGGAUGAGUAUAUGGGAGCGUGGCGAUUAUACUGCAAUGAUGAUGUCGAUGAUCCGUUUCAUGAUGAUUAUGAUGACGGAUGCAUUUAGUUUUAGUUAUAUUGUAGGGAUGACGUUCCUGUCGAAUGUUGUUCCUCAGUUAAGAUGGAUAUUUUCAGUUUAAGUUUCGCUGUCAAGAAAAUUGUUAGAUUAUGCAUCACAUUUGGAUGAUGUUCCUCCUGUAAUAUCCACUAUUGUAAUCCAACAGUUUUGAUCUAAUAUAUGAUUUCUUCCUCUCGUGAGUAUAUUGUCUUGUUUUUCGUUCACUUGAAAUAUAUAAUUAUCGCCUUU